GAUAUACCAACAGACAGAAUACCUUAAACAGUACCUAUCCAUCUGCAGUUGACGUUUGCUUGAAAUACAAGAACAAUUCAACACAGAAAGGUAAAGAAAUGAUGAAUUUGAUUUAUUGGGUUACAGCAUUCCUAUGCCUGGUACCUGUAAUAUACGGUCUGGAAAAUAUAACAGGUGAAGUUGCGUGUCAUAAUAUCAUGGUGAUUUAUGUUGAUGGUAUUCUGUAUAAGAAUGGCGAUAUCGAUACCUGGGACCAACCUGCCAAUAUCAGCAUUCCUGGGGAUACGCAACUUGUUGCUAUAAAGUGCACCUAUACAGGGCCUGUUGGAAUAAAGAUGACAUUGAACAAUGGCAUUGAAACAAGUGCAGCAUGGAAAUGUAACAACAAAUAUCACCAAGGGUGGAAUGAACUCGGGUUCAGUGACGAUACUUGGCCAAACGCUGUAGUGGUUAAGCCUGAAUGGAUUUGGACAGCUGGAAACACCAAAGAUGAAACAGUCUAUUGUAGAAAGAUCAUGGGUAACCGUACAGAAACCGAUAAUUCACCAGAUCUGGGUUGUCCGGAAAUUGCCGGAAUAUCAGUUGGAGUUUCUGCAAUUAUGUCUGUUAUUACUAUUAUACUUACUGUGGUAUAUUUCUAUAAGGUAUAUGCCGGACCUCAAAGUUACUUUCUGAUACCACUGAUACUAAUACCCCUACUAUGUGUGCUUGCUACAGGAUUGGCAAGUUAUUUUCUGUGUGAAAUAUCGAUGGAUAAAGACGCUGUUAUUGGUAUUGAUGUUGGAGUUUUUCUCUUUGAAGUAAUACUUGAAGUUCUAAUUUUCUGCAUAGCGAACAGACCUCGGGAAUAUAAUGAGCCGCUUAUUCCUUAUAAUAACCCUAAAGCUGUUAAUUAUGGAAGUAGCGACGUAGAAGUCGAAAACAAAGCCAAUCAAGCAAAUUAUAAUAUUUCGCUCUGCAGAAUUGUUUGAAUUCAAGUGUGAACAGCCUAGUUUCCCCUUUCGGAAAAUCUGCUGUCUAUGGCAAUUUCAAUUGUUUCAAACAUUGCCUGGAAGCCCUUUACUAUUUACUUAUUAAAUCACAUGUAUACUAAACAGCAAAAAAAAACGUCAGUACGAUUUCAAAAUCAGAGAGGUACUUUAAUCAAAUCAUUCUAGAAAACGACUUACUAAAUGGAUCAAAGCAAUUUUUUUGUGAACGGUAUGUUGACACAUUAGUAAUUAAUUCAUCAAUUCCAAGACGGUUUAGAGUCUGUAGACAGUCUAUACAUCAGUGGACCGUUCCAUGACUCAUUGGUCAGAAUAACGCUAGCCACGUCGACGCCAUAUUCUGGCCCCGUCAUCUGCAGUUGAUACGCAAUACCGACUCUCAUCUGUGAACAGAACAGUUCUUCAUUGUCUGUAUCGCCAGUUCUGGUGUUGUUGGGCAAACUGUAGACGUUCACGUCGAUGGUGGGUCGUGAGGAUCGGUCCACAUUAAGGGCUACGGCAAUGGACGUUCUCUCCGGUGAGACGUCGGCGCAUUGUAUCUGUUUCCACUGUCUGACGUGAUCUCUCUGAUGCCUGUGCUGAGGAUGAUUAUCCGUGGUGUUGGUGUCCCGAAAGCGUUGCUGAAGCCUGUAGAUGGUCCGGGCAUUGCCCCGGAAAUGAUUGGCAACGUCCGGGGCAGUGCGGCCAUCGUCGAGUCUUCCAAUCGCCUUGUUCGUCUGAGCUCUCGUGAGUCAUUGCAUGCUGCUGACGUUGUAGUGUGAAUGAUUCAACCAGGUAUGGGGGUGCAUUUUAUAGGGCUGGUCCCGGUGAACAGCACGUGCAGCAUGAGUUACAUGAAAGUCACGGAGAACACAUUACCAACUCAGAAUUUGGUUGCGUUUUUGAGAACAUUUCCUGUGUUCAAUUCUGUGUUUGGGAAGAAGCUUUAUUGCUCAGGUAAAGUUGGAGAUUUGGUCACAAAUAUACAAUAAAAACAUUUGGCAAGUUUUAUGCAAUGCGCCUUUUCAGAGUAACAUACCAACCUGACGUUUCUUUUGCUGCUUAGUAUAUUAAGAAAUAUGACCUUUAAACUAAUGUCCCUAACUCAAAAAAUAAAUAUGUUGCGCCUAUCAAGCUAGUAGUAGCUAUGUGUAGAGAGAUGACUAAAAAAAGGAUUAUAUGUACGCUUGUUGUUUCGCAGAGGUUUAUAUUGAGAAGUAAAAUGCUUUGUGAUUGUUUAACUAGAAUUUCGUUAACAGUAUCGUAAUUUGGAACUUGACACAUGAACAUUCACAAAGUAUUAACGAAUUUACUCAUAGGUUUUUUUUAUUUUGUCUACGUGUAUUUCAGGCAUAGGGGAGAUUUAUAUUUUGUUUUAACGUAGUACCCCAAAUAUUAUGGGAUCCCCCGAAAUUACGGGAGUGAUUUUUAUUGUAUUGAGAGAAACUGAUUAGUUAUAUACCUUCGAAGAAGAGUCACCAAUGUGCUGUAUUAUUGUAUGUGUCUAAGAGAGAUAUACCUUUGUUAGUUUUGAUAAAUUCUUUCAAAAAUGUCUUAUUUAAGACUUGUGAAAUGUGAUCAGAUGAUUCAUUAUCCUUCAUCUUGAGGUAAAUAAAACAAUAUGACAAAAUCCUA